rnacentral:rRNA from 1 species
AGAGAGAGACAUGCGCGCAUAUCAAUAAGCGGAGGAAAAGAAACUAACAAGGACUCCCCUAGUAACGGCGAGUGAAGCGGGAAGAGCUCAAAUUUGAAAUCUUAAAGGGUUUCCCUUUACGAAUUGUAGUUUAAAGAAGUGUUUUCUGUUGAGGUUUUGGUAAAAGUUCUUUGGAAUAGGACAUCAUAGAGGGUGAGAAUCCCGUAUUUGACCUUUACUUUCAACUUUGUGAUACACUUUCAAAGAGUCAGGAUUGUUUGGGAAUGCAGUCCAAAAUGGGUGGUAAAUUUCAUCUAAAGCUAAAUAUUGGCGAGAGACCGAUAGCGGACAAGUACCGUGAGGGAAAGAUGAAAAGAACUUUGAAAAGAGAGUUAAACAGUACGUGAAAUUGUCAAAAGGGAAGCGUUUGACACCAGUGUUGUUUUUCUGAAAAUCAAUUAAAGAACUGUUUAUGCUAAGCUGUUUAGACUUUAUCAGCUAUCUGUUUAGUUUUGAGCUUUUCUUUAAUGCACUUUUCAGUUAACAAGUCAACAUCAAUUUCUUUUGCUGUAAAAAAGCUUGAGGAAGGGUGGCUUGAGAUUCGUCUUAAGUGUUUAUAGCCUCUCGCCUAUGCAGUCGGAGAGAUUGAGGUCUGCAGCGUAGAUCCUUCGGGGCUAAAUGCAUUUGUGCUAAGUUAUAGCAUUUUAUAGACAACUUGUUGACUAUGAUUUGUCUUGUAGCUUACUCGCUUAUGUUAUUUUACCUACGCUUAGGAUGUUGAGCGCAUGUCUCUCUCU